rnacentral:rRNA from 1 species
AGGCUUAACACAUGCAAGUCGAGCGCCUCGCAAGAGGAGCGGCAGACGGGUGAGUAACGCGUGGGAAUCUACCCAUCCCUACGGAACAACUCCGGGAAACUGGAGCUAAUACCGUAUACGCCCUUCGGGGGAAAGAUUUAUCGGGGAUGGAUGAGCCCGCGUUGGAUUAGCUAGUUGGUGGGGUAAAGGCCUACCAAGGCGACGAUCCAUAGCUGGUCUGAGAGGAUGAUCAGCCACAUUGGGACUGAGACACGGCCCAA